CCGGGCGGGGGCUGCAGCCCCUCGGAGCACGACGGGGCUGUAAGAAGCCUGCGGGAAACCCCGCAGCCGCGUGAGUGAGUCUCUGUGUUGCAGUGCCCUUGGGAAGGCUGGGGAAGGCUCUGAAGGUGAUGCCGAGGACUCUGCUGCUUCGCCCUGUGUAGAAGAUACAGGCAUGUCGCAGCUGCCUUUUGGAGCUCUAGAGCUCUCACAGAGCCAGGAUUUUGAGAGUGACUCCGUGCCCAGUGAGGGAGAUGCUCAGCAUCAGUUUCACCCUGGAGCUGCUGUCCCUUCUUCCAGACUUGUGAAGAACGAUACUAAAGAUGAACUGCAUGGGGAUAGCACAGAAACUGUCUCCAGCACAGAAGCACAUACUGCUUUGGAAGGCCAGGCAGAGAAGUCAGAAAGUACUCUGCAGGAAGUAGAAGACCAUACUGGAAAACAAAUGCCUGUCUGUGACCCCACUAAAACUGAGAAAUCCCUUGAUUCUGGUCAUGAGGAGCUGGAUGUCUUGUCAACUCAGGAAGAAAUGUUUCCUGAGUGUAAUGCAACAGGUAACAAUAAACAAGCAGAGCCAAAAUGUCCUAACCAUCAUCUCUACUUGAUCUUUUUAGGCAUGUAGUGUUUUAGGGUGCA
rnacentral:lncRNA from 1 species